rnacentral:rRNA from 1 species
AACGAACGCUGGCGGCAUGCCUAACACAUGUAAGUCGAACGAGACCUUCGGGUCUAGUGGCGCACGGGUGCGUAACGCGUGGGAACCUGCCCUUAGGUUCGGAAUAACUCCCCGAAAGGGGUGCUAAUACCGGAUAAUGUCUUCGGACCAAAGAUUUAUCGCCUUUGGAUGGGCCCGCGUUGGAUUAGCUAGUUGGUAGGGUAAAAGCCUACCAAGGCGACGAUCCAUAGCUGGUCUGGGAGGAUGAUCAGCCACACUGGGACUGAGACACGGCCCAGACUCCUACGGGAGGCAGCAGUGGGGAAUAUUGGACAAUGGGCGAAAGCCUGAUCCAGCAAUGCCGCGUGAGUGAUGAAGGCCUUAGGGUUGUAAAGCUCUUUUACCCGGGAUGAUAAUGACAGUACCGGGAGAAUAAGCUCCGGCUAACUCCGUG